GCCAUUGUGGCAUAGUGGUUUGAGUAUUGGACUAGGACUCUGGAGUCUAGGGUUCAAUUCCUUGCUUGCCU
rnacentral:tRNA from 1 species